GGGGGUGUAGCUCAGUGGUUAGAGCGCCGGCCUGUCACGCCGGAGGCCGCGGGUUCAAGUCCCGUCAUCCUCGCCA
rnacentral:tRNA from 2 species